rnacentral:tRNA from 1 species
AAUAAUUUGGCAGAAUAUGCAGUUGAUUUAGGCUCAAAAGAAAACGUAUGUUAAUUAUUA